GUGCCGGGCCUUACAGGUCUGGCAAUUGGAAUGAGAACAAUUUAAAUCCCUUAUCGAGGAUCAAUUGGAGGCAAGUCUGGUGCCAGCAGCCGCGGUAAUUCCAGCUCCAAUAGCGUAUAUUAAAGUUGUUGCAGUUAAAAGGCUCGUAGUUGGAUUUGUGGUUUACGCAAGGCUUCCGUCCCUUUUGGGUUUCGGUGUUGCCUGGCGUUGCCAUCCUUGGGUGGAAUCUGUGUGGCAUUAGGUUGUCGUGCAGGGGAUGCCCAUCGUUUACUGUGAAAAAAUUAGAGUGUUCAAAGCAGGCUUAUGCCGUUGAAUAUGUUAGCAUGGAAUAAUAAUAUAGGACCUUGGUACUAUUUUGUUGGUUUGCGCACCGAGGUAAUGAUUAACAGGGUCAACUGGGGAUAUUCGUAUUCCGCUGUCAGAGGUGAAAUUCUUGGAUUUUUGGAAGACGAACUACUGCGAAAGCAUUUAUCAAGGAUGUUUUCAUUAAUCAAGAACGAAAGUUAGGGGAUCGAAGAUGAUUAGAUACCAUCGUGGUCUUAACCAUAAACUAUGCCGACAAGGGAUUGGUGGAGUAUCGUUACGUCUCCAUCAGCACCUUAUGAGAAAUCAAAAGUCUUUGGGUUCCGGGGGGAGUAUGGUCGCAAGGCUGAAACUUAAAGAAAUUGACGGAAGGGCACCACCAGGAGUGGAGCCUGCGGCUUAAUUUGACCCAACACGGGAAAACUUACCAGGUCCAGACAUAGUGAGGAUUGACAGAUUGAGAGCUCUUUCUUGAUUCUAUGGGUGGUGGCGCAUGGCCGUUCUUAGUUGGUGGAGUGAUUUGUCUGGUUAAUUCCGUUAACGAACGAGACCCCUGCCUGCUAAAUAGCCCAGUGAGUGAUUUUUCACUGACUGUUGGCUUCUUAGAGGGACGUGCAUUCUAUUAGAUGCAGGAAGAUAGGGGCAAUAACAGGUCUGUGAUGCCCUUAGAUGUCCUGGGCCGCACGCGCGCUACACUGAUGAAUUCAACGAGUUUUUUCCUUGGCCGAGAGGCCUGGGCAAUCUUUUGAACGUUCAUCGUGAUAGGGAUAGAUUAUUGCAAUUAUUAAUCUUGAACGAGGAAUUCCUAGUAAACGCAGAUCAUCAAUCUGCAUUGAUUACGUCCCUGCCCUUUGUACACACCGCCCGUCGCACCUACCGAUUGAAUGGUCCGGUGAAGCCUCGGGAUUGUGGUCAGUUUGCUUUAUUGCGAGUUGAUUGCGAGAACUUGUCUAAACCUUAUCAUUUAGAGGAAGGUGAAGUC
rnacentral:rRNA from 1 species